rnacentral:rRNA from 1 species
UACGUAGGUGGCGAGCGUUGUCCGGAUUUACUGGGCGUAAAGAGCGCGCAGGCGGCCUGAUCAGUCGAAUGUGAAAGCCCCCGGCUCAACUGGGGAGGGUCAUUCGAUACUGUCAGGCUAGAAGGCAGGAGAGGGAAGUGGAAUUCCCGGUGUAGUGGUGAAAUGCGUAGAUAUCGGGAGGAACACCAAUGGCGAAGGCAGCUCGCUGGGACGUUACUGACGCUGAGACGCGAAAGCGUGGGGAGCAAACAGG